rnacentral:rRNA from 1 species
AACGAACGCUGGCGGCGUGCCUAACACAUGCAAGUCGAACGAGAAAGGGGCUUCGGCUCCGAGUAAAGUGGCGCACGGGUGAGUAACACGUGGGUAACCUGCCUCUAAGAUUGGGAUAACUCGUCGAAAGAUGAGCUAAUACCGAAUAAGACCACAGUUCCCGCGGGAACAGGGGUCAAAGGUAGCCUCUGCUUGCAAGCUAUCACUUAGAGAUGGGCCUGCGCACCAUUAGCUAGUUGGUAGGGUAACGGCCUACCAAGGCAAAGAUGGUUAGCUGGUCUGAGAGGAUGAUCAGCCACACUGGAACUGAGACACGGUCCAGACUCCUACGGGAGGCAGCAGUGGGGAAUAUUGCGCAAUGGGCGAAAGCUUGACGAAGCAACGCCGCGUGAGUGAUGAAGGCCUUCGGGUCGUAAAGCUCUGUCGGGAGGAACGAAUGCUCCUGAGGUUAACAGCCUCGGGAGGUGACGGUACCUUCAAAGGAAGCACCGGCUAACUCUGUG